UACGUAUGGGGCAAGCGUUGUCCGGAAUCAUUGGGCGUAAAGAGCGUGUAGGCGGCCCGGUAAGUCCGCCGUGAAAGUCCAGGGCUCAACCCUGGAAUGCCGGUGGAAACUGCCGGGCUGGAGUCCGGAAGAGGCGAGUGGAAUUCCUGGUGUAGCGGUGAAAUGCGCAGAUAUCAGGAGGAACACCAAUGGCGAAGGCAGCUCGCUGGGACGGUACUGACGCUGAGACGCGAAAGCGUGGGGAGCAAACAGG
rnacentral:rRNA from 1 species